rnacentral:rRNA from 1 species
CCUACGGGCGGCAGCAGUGAGGAAUAUUGGUCAAUGGCCGGAAGGCUGAACCAGCCAUGCCGCGUGAAGGUCAGUGCCCUAUGGGCGUUAAACUUCUUUUGUGCGGGAGCAAUAAUGGUCACGUGUGGCCAGACGAGAGUACCGUACGAAUAAGCAUCGGCUAACUCCGUGCCAGCAGCCGCGGUAAUACGGGGGAUGCAAGCGUUAUCCGGAUUUAUUGGGUUUAAAGGGUGCGUAGGCUGUGAGGUAAGUCAGCGGUGAAAUGCCCCCGCUCAACGGGGUGAAGUGCCAUUGAUACUGCCUAGCUGGAAUGCGGAUGCCGUGGGAGGGAUGUGUGGUGUAGCGGUGGAAUGCAUAGAUAUCACACAGAACACCGAUUGCGAAGGCAUCUCACGAAUCCGCGAUUGACGCUGAUGCACGAAAGCGUGGGUAUCAAACAGGAUUAGAUACCCUUGUAGUC